UCGUGCUAGACGGGGAGUUAGCGGUGCCCUGUAACCUGCAAUCCGCUAUAGCAGGGUCAAUUACUGACAGAAGAUAGGAAGCGGAGAGACCAGUUACUCAAAGGAGAAACGGUGAAGGUUGGGCCUGCUAUAGAUGUAUACUUCAAACCCCGUCAGGACCGGGAGGUAGCAGCGGUAAGAAGUGGUAUAUCUGAUAGUAGUUUUACCUGGCUGGAGUUAUCUCCUUUGAUAACCCUCUUUGAUUAAUAUCAACUGUCAGGUGCACGG
rnacentral:SRP_RNA from 1 species